rnacentral:rRNA from 1 species
GCGUGGGACUGCGGAGACAUUACCGAGUGCGGGUCCUUUGGGCCCAACCUCCCAUCCGUGUCUAUUGUACCCUGUUGCUUCGGCGGGCCCGCCGCUUGUCGGCCGCCGGGGGGGCGCCUCUGCCCCCCGGGCCCGUGCCCGCCGGAGACCCCAACACGAACACUGUCUGAAAGCGUGCAGUCUGAGUUGAUUGAAUGCAAUCAGUUAAAACUUUCAACAAUGGAUCUCUUGGUUCCGGCAUCGAUGAAGAACGCAGCGAAAUGCGAUAACUAAUGUGAAUUGCAGAAUUCAGUGAAUCAUCGAGUCUUUGAACGCACAUUGCGCCCCCUGGUAUUCCGGGGGGCAUGCCUGUCCGAGCGUCAUUGCUGCCCUCAAGCCCGGCUUGUGUGUUGGGUCGCCGUCCCCCUCUCCGGGGGGACGGGCCCGAAAGGCAGCGGCGGCACCGCGUCCGAUCCUCGAGCGUAUGGGGCUUUGUCACAUGCUCUGUAGGAUUGGCCGGCGCCUGCCGACGUUUUCCAACCAUUCUUUCCAGGUUGACCUCGGAUCAGGUAGGGAUACCCGCUGAACUUAAGCAUAU